GUGGGGAAUUUUGGACAAUGGGCGAAAGCCUGAUCCAGCAAUGCCGCGUGCAGGAUGAAGGCCCUCGGGUUGUAAACUGCUUUUGUACGGAACGAAAAGCCUGGGGCUAAUAUCCCCGGGUCAUGACGGUACCGUAAGAAUAAGCACCGGCUAACUACGUGCCAGCAGCCGCGGUAAUACGUAGGGUGCAAGCGUUAAUCGGAAUUACUGGUCGUAAAGCGUGCGCAGGCGGUUUUGUAAGACAGUGGUGAAAUCCCCGGGCUCAACCUGGGAACUGCCAUUGUGACUGCAAGGCUAGAGUGCGGCAGAGGGGGAUGGAAUUCCGCGUGUAGCAGUGAAAUGCGUAGAUAUGCGGAGGAACACCGAUGGCGAAGGCAAUCCCCUGGGCCUGCACUGACGCUCAUGCACGAAAGCGUGGGGAGCAAACAGGAUUAGAUACCCGAGUAGUCC
rnacentral:rRNA from 1 species